rnacentral:rRNA from 1 species
UACGUAGGGUGCGAGCGUUAAUCGGAAUUACUGGGCGUAAAGCGUGCGCAGGCGGUUUUGUAAGACAGGCGUGAAAUCCCCGGGCUCAACCUGGGAAUGGCGCUUGUGACUGCGAGGCUAGAGUAUGGCAGAGGGGGGUGGAAUUCCACGUGUAGCAGUGAAAUGCGUAGAGAUGUGGAGGAACACCGAUGGCGAAGGCAGCCCCCUGGGCCAAUACUGACGCUCAUGCACGAAAGCGUGGGGAGCAAACAGG